rnacentral:rRNA from 1 species
UACGGAGGGUCCAAGCGUUAUCCGGAAUCAUUGGGUUUAAAGGGUCCGUAGGCGGUUUUGUAAGUCAGUGGUGAAAGCCCAUCGCUCAACGGUGGAACGGCCAUUGAUACUGCAAGACUUGAAUUAUUGGGAAGCAACUAGAAUAUGUAGUGUAGCGGUGAAAUGCUUAGAGAUUACAUGGAAUACCAAUUGCGAAGGCAGGUUGCUACCAAUA